AGUCGCCGCGGUAAUACAGAGGGUGCGAGCGUUAAUCGGAUUUACUGGGCGUAAAGCGUGCGUAGGCGGCUUUUUAAGUCGGAUGUGAAAUCCCUGAGCUUAACUUAGGAAUUGCAUUCGAUACUGGGAAGCUAGAGUAUGGGAGAGGAUGGUAGAAUUCCAGGUGUAGCGGUGAAAUGCGUAGAGAUCUGGAGGAAUACCGAUGGCGAAGGCAGCCAUCUGGCCUAAUACUGACGCUGAGGUACGAAAGCAUGGGGAGCAAACAGGAUUAGAUACCCCUGUAGUCCCUGUCUCUUAUACA
rnacentral:rRNA from 1 species